rnacentral:piRNA from 1 species
UGGCAAACUGAGGUGUUACUAACAUUGUCAAU